AUGUUAUUUUUAUUUAAAUUUGAACGUGCGCCAUGUAAAGGUAGGUCACUCUCGUACUUCCGACAGGAAGCCAUUAUGCAAAGACGCUAUAAAAGAUCCGUGAUGUUAUACUUGUGAUAUAUUUUGCUCUAUCGUGUAUUAUCAGUUUUGAAAAAUGACUGAUAAGCACCAUGUACGUCAUAAUAGUUAUUUUUGGUUUAAAUACAACGACUGCUGAUGUCACUCUCAUCUAGUAACACUUUACACAAUUGACAAUCCCAGACCUCCAGUGUAAACUAAAUUCGAGAUUCCCAUAUAAAAUUGUCUUUACAUGAUUUGUGGCUUCUUAUUAUUAUUUACAACAUUUCUUUGUAAUGGGGAAACCCUGUUUAACCAUUGUUAGACUGCUGUCUGGCUACGAGCAGCAACGAUUUCCAGUACAACACUCAGAAUAUUCAAACAGAAUAUUCAUAAAGAGAGAAGAAGAACAUUUUAUAUAAUUCUGCUUUUGAACAUAUGGAUAUACUCAUCUGGAGCAGCUGUGGUUACAGAUUGCCCUGGGGAAGUAGACU